rnacentral:rRNA from 1 species
UACGUAGGGGGCAAGCGUUGUCCGGAUUUAUUGGGCGUAAAGGGCGCGUAGGCGGCGCGGUAAGUCACUUGUGAAAUCUCUGAGCUUAACUCAGAACGGCCAAGUGAUACUGCAGUGCUAGAGUGUGGAAGGGGCAAUCGGAAUUCUUGGUGUAGCGGUGAAAUGCGUAGAUAUCAAGAGGAACACCUGAGGUGAAGACGGGUUGCUGGGCCAACACUGACGCUGAUGCGCGAAAGCCAGGGGAGCAAACGGG